rnacentral:rRNA from 1 species
UGUGUAGGCGGUUCUUUAAGUUUGGUGUGAAAUCUCCCGGCUCAACCGGGAGGGUGCGCCGAAUACUGAGGGACUCGAGUGCGGGAGAGGAAAGUGGAAUUCCUGGUGUAGCGGUGAAAUGCGUAGAUAUCAGGAGGAACACCGGUGGUGUAGACGGCUUUCUGGACCGUAACUGACGCUGAGACACGAAAGCGUGGGUAGCAAACAGGAUUAGAUACCCUGGUAGUCCACGCCCUAAACGAUGCAUAUUUGGUGUGGGUCAUUCAGUUGAUCCGUGCCGGAGCUAACGCGUUAAAUGUGCCGCCUGGGGAGUACAGUCGCAAGGCUGAA